GCGAACGGGUGAGUAACACGUGAGCAACCUGCCCCUGACUCUGGGAUAAGCGCUGGAAACGGCGUCUAAUACUGGAUAUGUGACGUGACCGCAUGGUCUGCGUUUGGAAAGAUUUUUCGGUUGGGGAUGGGCUCGCGGCCUAUCAGCUUGUUGGUGAGGUAAUGGCUCACCAAGGCGUCGACGGGUAGCCGGCCUGAGAGGGUGACCGGCCACACUGGGACUGAGACACGGCCCAGACUCCUACGGGAGGCAGCAGUGGGGAAUAUUGCACAAUGGGCGAAAGCCUGAUGCAGCAACGCCGCGUGAGGGAUGACGGCCUUCGGGUUGUAAACCUCUUUUAGCAGGGAAGAAGCGAAAGUGACGGUACCUGCAGAAAAAGCGCCGGCUAACUACGUGCCAGCAGCCGCGGUAAUACGUAGGGCGCAAGCGUUAUCCGGAAUUAUUGGGCGUAAAGAGCUCGUAGGCGGUUUGUCGCGUCUGCUGUGAAAUCCCGAGGCUCAACCUCGGGCCUGCAGUGGGUACGGGCAGACUAGAGUGCGGUAGGGGAGAUUGGAAUUCCUGGUGUAGCGGUGGAAUGCGCAGAUAUCAGGAGGAACACCGAUGGCGAAGGCAGAUCUCUGGGCCGUAACUGACGCUGAGGAGCGAAAGGGUGGGGAGCAAACAGGCUUAGAUACCCUGGUAGUCCACCCCGUAAACGUUGGGAACUAGUUGUGGGGUCCAUU
rnacentral:rRNA from 1 species